GUGGGGAAUAUUGCACAAUGGGCGCAAGCCUGAUGCAGCCAUGCCGCGUGUAUGAAGAAGGCCUUCGGGUUGUAAAGUACUUUCAGCGGGGAGGAAGGCGACAAGGUUAAUAACCUUGUCGAUUGACGUUACCCGCAGAAGAAGCACCGGCUAACUCCGUGCCAGCAGCCGCGGUAAUACGGAGGGUGCAAGCGUUAAUCGGAAUUACUGGGCGUAAAGCGCACGCAGGCGGUCUGUCAAGUCGGAUGUGAAAUCCCCGGGCUCAACCUGGGAACUGCAUUCGAAACUGGCAGGCUAGAGUCUUGUAGAGGGGGGUAGAAUUCCAGGUGUAGCGGUGAAAUGCGUAGAGAUCUGGAGGAAUACCGGUGGCGAAGGCGGCCCCCUGGACAAAGACUGACGCUCAGGUGCGAAAGCGUGGGGAGCAAACAGGAUUAGAUACCCGUGUAGUCC
rnacentral:rRNA from 1 species